rnacentral:rRNA from 1 species
UAAGGCGGGGAUUCCUUCGGGAACCUGUCGCUUGAUGAGGAGCCCGCGUCCUAUCAGCUUGUUGGUGAGGUAAUGGCUCACCAAGGCUUACGGGUAGCUGGUCUGAGAGGAUGGUCAGCCACACUGGGACUGAGACACUGCCCAGACUCCUACGGGAGGCUGCAGUCGAGGAUCAUUCGCAAUGCGCGAAAGCGUGACGAUGCGACGCUGCGUGGAGGAUGACGGCCUUCAGGUUGUAAACUCCUGUCAUCCGGGAACAACCGUUUCGGUCUUAAUAGGGCCGGAACCUGAUAGUACCGGAAGAGGAAGCCACGGCUAACUCUGUGCCAGCAGCCGCGGUAAUACAGAGGUGGCGAGCGUUGUUCGGAUUUACUGGGCGUAAAGGGUGUGUAGGUGGUUCUGUGUGUCAAGUGUGAAAUCUUACCGCUCAACGGUGAAACUGCACUUGAAACUGCAGAACUAGAGUGCAGGAGAGGAAGGCGGAAUUCUCGGUGUAGCGGCGAAAUGCGUUGAUAUCGAGAAGAACACCGGUGGCGAAGGCGGCCUUCUGGAAUGCAACUGACACUGAGACACGAAAGUUGGGGUAGCAAACAGGUUUAGAUACCCUGGUAGUCCCGACCGUAAACGGUGUACACCUGGUGUGGGGAGAUUUGACCCUCUCCGUGCCGGAGCUAACGUGGUAAGUGUACCGCCUGGGGAGUACGGCCGCAAGGCUAAAACUCAAAGAAAUUGACGGGGGCCCGCACAAGCGGAGGAGCAUGUGGCUUAAUUCGAUGCAACGCGAAGAACCUUAUCCAGGGCUUGACAUGCAGCUGCAAAUCCGCCGAAAGGCGGAAGUCCUUCGAGGGUGCUGCACAGGUGCUGCAUGGCUGUCGUCAGUUCGUGCCGUGAGGUGUUGGGUUAAGUCCCGCAACGAACGCAACCCUUGUGUCUAGUUGCCACCGCAGGUGAUGAGCCUGCGAGCACUCUAGACAGACUGCCCGUGCAAGCGGGAGGAAGGUGAGGAUGACGUCAAGUCCGUAUGGCCUUUAUGCCCUGGGCUGCACACGUGCUACAAUGGCCGGUACAAUGGGCUGCAAUACCGCGAGGUGGAGCUAAUCCCCAAAACCGGCCCCAGUUCGGAUUGGAGUCUGCAACUCGACUCCAUGAAUGUUGGAUUCGCUAGUAACGGCGUAUCAGCUACGGCGCCGUGAAUACGUUCCCGGGCCUUGUACACACCGCCCGUCACAUCAUGAAAGCUUUCUGCACCCGAAGUCGUUGAUCCAACUCGCCUUUAGUGAGAGGAAGGCGCCGAAGGUGUGGGGAGUGAUUGGGAUGAAGUCGAAACAAGGUA